CUGUAUCUUAUCGAACAAUCCUUUAGUAGAUAAUAAGAUACGUUAUCACAGUGUCCGGCUCAAUGUUCACCAGUCACACAAACCACACAUGCUCACACUCUCCACUAGGGGACUGACGAGCAGGAUUACGGAACACUUCAGCACCGCACUUCCACUACUUUCAAAUGACUCUAGUUGAACUUUGACCCGUUCCUAGCCUGCCCAAGCCACUGCCAGCCAACCAGAGUGAUUUCAAGCCAUCCCCAGCCAUAUCAAGCCGACCCCAGCCCCUACAAGCCAUCUCACCCUCUCCAAACUUCCACCAGCCAUUCCGAGCCCAUACAAGCCAAUUCCAAACCAUCGUCAGCCGUCUCCAGCCUCUACAAGACAUCCCCAACCCCUAUAAGCCUCUUCAAGACAUCCCCAGCCCCUACAAUCCUCUACAAGACAUCCCCAGCCCCUACAAGACAUCCCCAACCCCUACAAGCUUCUACAAGAUAUCCCCAGCCCCUACAAGACAUCCCCAGCCCCUCCAAGUCUCUACAACAAGACGCCCCCAGCUUCCGCCGCCCAGCCCAUAUUCGCCAUACAGUCAUGCCCCUUCAUUCUGUGUGUGUGCGUGUGUGUGUCUGGGGAGGGAUGGGAUAGUCUUCACAUGCUGGUCCUUUUUUUGGCAGUGUAGCCAGAAAGUAAGACUACCAGAUGGAAAUAAUUCCCCACAUUGAUAUUUAUUUGGUUUUUAUUAAUUUUUCUCAUUUUUAUGCAUAACUACAACAAAUCCAAAAUCCAAUAAACUGAUUUUUCCUGUG